GACGAACGCUGGCGGCGUGCUUAACACAUGCAAGUCGAACGGAAAGGCCCUGCUUUUGUGGGGUGCUCGAGUGGCGAACGGGUGAGUAACACGUGAGUAACCUGCCCUUGACUUUGGGAUAACUUCAGGAAACUGGGGCUAAUACCGGAUAGGAGCUCCUGCUGCAUGGUGGGGGUUGGAAAGUUUCGGCGGUUGGGGAUGGACUCGCGGCUUAUCAGCUUGUUGGUGGGGUAGUGGCUUACCAAGGCUUUGACGGGUAGCCGGCCUGAGAGGGUGACCGGCCACAUGGGGACUGAGAUACGGCCCAGACUCCUACGGGAGGCAGCAGUGGGGAAUAUUGCAAAAUGGGCGGAAGCCUGAUGCAGCAACGCCGCGUGCGGGAUGACGGCCUUCGGGUUGUAAACCGCUUUCGCCUGUGACGAAGCGUGAGUGACGGGAAGGGGUAAAGAAGCACCGGCUAACUACG
rnacentral:rRNA from 1 species